rnacentral:lncRNA from 1 species
GCAGAUGAACCAAUAAGGGCUGGGGAGAGGAUGCUUCCUCCUGGAAUCGGAUCUGCAAUAGUGGUAUUCAGAAGAGAGGUGGGGUGGUGGCAGUUGCGCGGCACAGACGGGACGGACCCCCUGCUCAGAGGGUGCAAGCUGGGACGCGAAAUUGUUUGGGUCGGUGCUGCCGCGGAUCACCUCAUGUCAGGCCCCGCUUCCAGGCUUCUCUGCAGGGCCCGGGGCAGGGGAGGGGGCAGGGCUCUGUGCGCGCCCUGACCAGCCGCUUCUGCCCCAAGUUCAGCCCGAAAAAGCCCCAGUGUGGCUUUGGAGCUGCGGUAUAAAGGCUGGUGGUACCAUGUCAUGCGAGUUGCCAUGUGCGUCACCCAGUGGAAAACACGUUUGGACUGCUGUGCUGCCAUCACCUGAAUAGGCAGAGGCUCUGUCCCUUAGGCCUCAGGCACCUAACGUUUAACCUGCCUCCUGGAAAAUAUUUCUUAUCAAGUAUUUACUUUAUUAAAAAUUUACUUUAUUAAAAAUCAUUAACCAUGUUCUUUAAUAUUUACUGACAUUUGUGUUUUAAGCUGUAUACCAAUGUUCACACUUGACAUUGAUUUUCUAACCAUUAGAGAUAUUUAAAUAAAACUUGUAAAUAAAAGGAGC